CGCCGCGGCCCCGCGAACGAAAACCCGCGAAAACCCGCAAAAACCCGCAAAAACCCCGCACCGGCAGCCCUGCCCUCCGGCGGGGGGAGCGAGGAAGGCGGCGGGGGGAGCGGGAAGGAAGAAGCCGCGCUCACCCGGCGCCUCCUGCUGAGGGCGGGAGGGCCCGGCCCGCCGGGAGCCGCUCUCGCCUCCCGCCCUGACCUAGAUUCCCCGCACGGUUCUCUGCCUGCCACAGAAAGUUGUGGCCCAGCUCCGAAGGGAGGACCCGAGAGAACGCGGAGGGUGCGUGUGUGUGUGCGGGGCGGGUGUUUCUUUAUUUGUUUUUAAACAUCCAGCCGUGAGGAACCGACCGGGCCCUGGCGACGAUGGGGAUGCGCCUGGUCAGCAAGAAACCCCCCCCCAGCACCGCCCGGAGGAACGGGAGCAGCCGCACACCCCGCAGGGCAGACCCAGCCGCUCGGAAGCUGCGCCCCGGAGCGGCCUUUCCUCACCCACAGCCAGCGCAGGGAAGAGAGCUAUUUUCACCUUAUAUCUGGAUUAUCUGGAUGUUUCAUUGGACUCAGAGGAGCACGUAUGAUUCAAAGACGCAGGCUGGGAAAGGUCUGGCAGCUUCAAGUUGCCUGCUCCUACACCAAGGAUGGGCAGCUCCCCUGAAACAUGCCCUGAGGCUCUGACUUCACUCCCCAGGGCAUUAAAUUAAUACAUUUUAAUAGCCUGGGCUGUGAAGAGAGGAGGCUCAGAUGUUUGGUGCUGACCCACCACAUUAACUGCUGCCUUUGCUACUGCUCAGCUGCUGAAAACAGACUGUGUCAGAGGAGAAACAGCUCCAAAGGGCUUGGAAGGAUAAAAUCACUGAGCAAAGAAGCCACGAUUUUUGGAUGCAAAGGGUUGGCAACAGCUCCUUGUAAUGAAAAGAAAACCAGGGAGACAGAACCACCCUGCUUUGUGACAACACACCCACCACGGGCAGAUUGCAGAUGACACAGAGAUGAGACCAGGGCAAGGCAAACUUUGCAUCCAAACAGCGAUUUAACACCCGGCAGCACGUCAUCCAGCAGAUCACCAGAUGAUCCCCAACUCCAUCUGCCAGUAUCUGAGCACAGGGAGCAGCAGCUCCUCUCUCUUUUUGAGCCAUUCUUGCCCAGGUGAAGCAUUUCUCCACAGGGAGCACCAGCCCAAGCUGCUGUACGUGCAGGCAAAGGACCCUGUCACCUCCUCAGACCCCAAAUGCCUGAAGGUUUGAACAGCAGGAGAAACCCAAAAGCAGGGGAGUCAGCAGACAUGACAAGAGCAGGGUUCCUCCAACCAUCAAGUGAAGGGGAAGCAAGUCUCAAAGGAGGGACUGUUUUGAAGAGGGUUUGCAGCUGCCACCACAUGAAUGGCUCUCCAAGAACAGUAGCAACUGCUGCAAGCUGCCCAGGGAGCUGGGACGAAAGCAUCUCUGUUUAGGCUGGUUUUCAAUGUUGGUUUUUAGGUCAACUAAAACAGCUUUUCUUAUGCAACAAGAGGUGCAGAAAGCUCCCUUGCUUUUGAGGCUGUGUGUUGUUGGGUGUUUUUUACUUUCACUUAAUGAGAUGGUAAUUCAGAAGGCAGCACUGCUGUUUUAAAGACAAUGAGAAAGUAUUUCACUGCCUAAAGUGAAACCACUGAGCUAAGCCAGCCCUAGAACUUGACACCACUUGGGAUUGUGAUGGUUUCUUCUAAAGGGGUGGGACAAGGGCAAGA